AUUGAACGCUGGCGGCAGGCCUAACACAUGCAAGUCGAACGGUAACAGGGAUCAGCUUGCUGAUUCGCUGACGAGUGGCGGACGGGUGAGUAAUGUCUGGGAAACUGCCUGAUGGAGGGGGUUAACUACUGGAAACGGUAGCUAAUACCGCAUAACGUCGCAAGACCAAAGAGGGGGACCUUCGGGCCUCUUGCCAUCGGAUGUGCCCAGAUGGGAUUAGCUAGUAGGUGGGGUAACGGCUCACCUAGGCGACGAUCCCUAGCUGGUCUGAGAGGAUGACCAGCCACACUGGAACUGAGACACGGUCCAGACUCCUACGGGAGGCAGCAGUGGGGAAUAUUGCACAAUGGGCGCAAGCCUGAUGCAGCCAUGCCGCGUGUAUGAAGAAGGCCUUCGGGUUGUAAAGUACUUUCAGCGGGGAGGAAGGGAGUAAAGUUAAUACCUUUGCUCAUUGACGUUACCCGCAGAAGAAGCACCGGCUAACUCCGUG
rnacentral:rRNA from 1 species